AUGAACGCUGGCGGCGUGUCUAAGGCAUGCAAGUCGAACGGAUUCUUUUCCGUAGCAAUACGGAAAAACAGUAAGUGGCAAACGGGAGCGUAACACACUGGUAACCUACCCCGAGGUUCGGCAUAACUCCGCGAAAGCGGAGCUAAUUCCGGAUGUGAUCCCCUUCUUCGUGAAGGGGAUGAAAGCAGCAAUGCACCUUGGGAGGGGCCUAUGGCUCAUCAGCUAGUUGGUAGGGUAAUGGCCUACCAAGGCAACGACGAGUAGCGGGUGUGGGAGCACGAUCCGCCUCACAGGGACUGAGACACUGCCCUGACACCUACGGGUGGCUGCAGUCGAGAAUCUUCCCCAAUGGACGAAAGUCUGAGGGAGCGACGCCGCGUGCAGGAAGAAGCUCUUCGGGGCGUAAACUGCUUUUGUAAGGGAACAAGUCAUGAGUGUACCUUACGAAUAAGUACCUGCUAAACUCGU
rnacentral:rRNA from 1 species